GGGUAUAGCUCAGUGGUAGAGCAUGUGCUUAGCAUGCACGAGGUCCUGGGUUCAAUCCCCAGUACUUCCA
rnacentral:tRNA from 1 species